rnacentral:rRNA from 1 species
AGAGUUUGAUCCUGGCUCAGGACGAACGCUGGCGGCGCGCCUAACACAUGCAAGUCGAACGGAGUCAAGAGGAGCUUGCUUUUCUUGACUUAGUGGCGAACGGGUGAGUAACGCGUGAGUAACCUGCCCUGGAGUGGGGGACAACAGUUGGAAACGACUGCUAAUACCGCAUAAGCCCACGAUCCGGCAUCGGAUUGAGGGAAAAGGAUUUAUUCGCUUCAGGAUGGACUCGCGUCCAAUUAGCUAGUUGGUGAGGUAACGGCCCACCAAGGCGACGAUUGGUAGCCGGACUGAGAGGUUGAACGGCCACAUUGGGACUGAGACACGGCCCAGACUCCUACGGGAGGCAGCAGUGGGGGAUAUUGCACAAUGGGGGAAACCCUGAUGCAGCGACGCCGCGUGGAGGAAGAAGGUUUUCGGAUUGUAAACUCCUGUCGUUAGGGACGAUAAUGACGGUACCUAACAAGAAAGCACCGGCUAACUACGUGCCAGCAGCCGCGGUAAAACGUAGGGUGCAAGCGUUGUCCGGAAUUACUGGGUGUAAAGGGAGCGCAGGCGGGAAGACAAGUUGGAAGUGAAAACCAUGGGCUCAACCCAUGAAUUGCUUUCAAAACUGUUUUUCUUGAGUAGUGCAGAGGUAGAUGGAAUUCCCGGUGUAGCGGUGGAAUGCGUAGAUAUCGGGAGGAACACCAGUGGCGAAGGCGGUCUACUGGGCACCAACUGACGCUGAGGUUCGAAAGCAUGGGUAGCAAACAGGAUUAGAUACCCUGGUAGUCCAUGCCGUAAACGAUGAUUACUAGGUGUUGGGGGAUUGACCCCCUCAGUGCCGCAGUUAACACAAUAAGUAAUCCACCUGGGGAGUACGACCGCAAGGUUGAAACUCAAAGGAAUUGACGGGGGCCCGCACAAGCAGUGGAGUAUGUGGUUUAAUUCGAAGCAACGCGAAGAACCUUACCAGGUCUUGACAUCCGAUGCAUAGCACAGAGAUGUGUGAAAUCCUUCGGGACAUCGAGACAGGUGGUGCAUGGUUGUCGUCAGCUCGUGUCGUGAGAUGUUGGGUUAAGUCCCGCAACGAGCGCAACCCUUAUUGCCAGUUACUACGUUAAGAGGACUCUGGCGAGACUGCCGUUGACAAAACGGAGGAAGGUGGGGAUGACGUCAAAUCAUCAUGCCCUUUAUGACCUGGGCUACACACGUACUACAAUGGCGUUUAACAAAGAGAAGCAAGACCGCGAGGUGGAGCAAAACUCAAAAACAACGUCUCAGUUCAGAUUGCAGGCUGCAACUCGCCUGCAUGAAGUCGGAAUUGCUAGUAAUCGCGGAUCAGCAUGCCGCGGUGAAUACGUUCCCGGGCCUUGCACUCACCGCCCGUCA